AUGAGGAGAAACCGUUAUGUGCGAAGUGCAUAAUUGAUAAUUGGUUUCUACGACCUGCCGCCUGGCGCAGGCGAGGGACGUUCAUUACA
rfam:Clostridium sp. CAG:167 genomic scaffold, scf214